UACGGGGGGGGCAAGCGUUGUUCGGAAUUACUGGGCGUAAAGGGUUCGUAGGUGGCCAACUAAGUCAGACGUGAAAUCCCUCAGCUUAACUGGGGAACUGCGUCUGAUACUGGUCGGCUUGAGUGCAGGAGAGGAACGCGGAAUUCCAGGUGUAGCGGUGAAAUGCGUAGAUAUCGUAAGGAAGACCAGUGGCGAAGGCGGGUCUCUGGACAGUUCCUGACGCUGAGGCACGAAGGUCAGGGGAGCAAACGGG
rnacentral:rRNA from 1 species